CGGGUCGUAGUAUAAUGGUAGUACGCGAGGCUGGGGGUCUUGCAGUCCGGGUUCGAUUCCCGGCGGCCCGACCA
rnacentral:tRNA from 3 species